rnacentral:rRNA from 1 species
CAGUCGCCGCGGGAAUACGAAGGGUGCAAGCGUUAAUCGGAAUUACUGGGCGUAGAGCGUGCGUAGGCGGUGAGUUAAGUCUGCUGUGAAAUCCCCGGGCUCAACCUGGGAAUGGCAGUGGAUACUGGCUCGCUAGAGUGUGUCAGAGGAUGGUGGAAUUCCCGGUGUAGCGGUGAAAUGCGUAGAGAUCGGAAGGAACACCUGUGGCGAAAGCGGCUCACUGGACCAUUACUGACGCUGAUGCACGAAAGCUAGGGGAGCAAACAGGAUUAGAGACCCCCGUAGUCCCUGUCUCUUAUAC